AACGUAGGUGGCAAGCGUUAUCCGGAUUUACUGGGCGUAAAGCGUGUGCAGGCGGGGGGUACAAGUGGUGUAUGAAAUUUCCCAGCUUAACUGGGAAGGGUUAUGCCAGACUGUACUUCUGGAGUGCGAGAGAGGGGCGUGGAAUUCCGGGUGUAGUGGUGAAAUGCGUAGAGAUCCGGAGGAACCCCAGAGGCGAAGGCGGCGCCCUGGCUCGCAACUGACGCUCAGACACGACAGCAUGGGGAGCGAACGGG
rnacentral:rRNA from 1 species